UAGAGCGAUUUACUAUCUUUCAA
rnacentral:snRNA from 1 species